AGCAUCCUUGUAUUGUGCUGACCAGAAUUGGAUAUAAAAUUUGUGGGGUGGCCUGACCAAUGCAACAUAGAGUGGAAAUACUACUUAACAUAAUCAGAACACUAUACAACUUUUGAUACAGCCCAAGAUUGCAUUUGAUCUUUUGGCAAUUGCACUGGACAAUGGAUCAUAUUCUAACAAAUACUAGAGCCAAGCCACAUACCACCAGUCUUGUACUUGUGUAUCUGAUUAUUCUUACCUAAAGUCAGAAUCCAAUAUUUCUCCUCAUUGAAGUGCAUUGUAUUAGAAAGAGCCAAAUGUUGAAGUCUAUCAAGAAUUUGUUUGAAACCUGAUACCGUCUUUUGAAACCCUAGCAAUUUCAAAGGCUUACCCAUCUGACAGAAGAAGAAAAUGGGAAUGAGAAACAGCUGGGGUACGAAAGUGAAAGCAUAGGUUGUGAAUAAGUUAGCAAAAGUUAUGAACCAUAAGAAUCCAUAAGCACUGACCCAGAUGUCAGAAGAAAAUAAAAGAACAA